UUUCCGUAGGUGAACCUGCGGAAGGAUCAUUAUUGUAUAACCGAGGUGCGAGAGCUGUCGCUGACCCGAAAGGUCGUGCACCCCCGCGUGCCCUCACACACAUCCAUCUCACCCCUAUGUGCACCACCGCGUGGGUCCCCCUUUGGCUUGUUCGGAGGGGGGCUUACCUUUUCACACAAACUUUGUAUGCAGUGUAGAAUGUAUUUUUUGUUUUUGCGAUCACGCAAUCAAUACAACUUUCAACAACGGAUCUCUUGGCUCUC
rnacentral:misc_RNA from 1 species